AAAAUGUGAACCCACAUUUUAUGAGGAAGAGCUUGAGAAAAAGAAAUGAAAUGCUGAGGAAAUUUCUUAAUGAUUGCCAAAUACAUACCUUGCCUGAAGAAAAAUAUGUUUCUGAGAAUUUUGUAGGAAAAGAGCAAAGAACAAUGCAGUAACAUCAAUGUCUAUGUCUGUGGAGGCAGGAAAUAUUUUCUCAAAAUUAAACUUCAAACAGAUAUUGAUGAUUUCAAUAUUGAGACACUUAGACAGAGGAAACCUCGGAUGGGUUUUAAAAUUUCACUUUCUAAUAUUCUUCUCCUUUCUUUACAGGAUGCCAAAUAUAAGAACUUCAGAAUUAAAUCUAAGGGAUGUAGUACUUGGUAUUCUGGAAGUAUUCACUAGCAAAUAUGUCAGACCCUAAUAACGAUGGGUCUGACAUAUUUACACGAGAGAGAAAAGACAUCUUUUUAAUUCUUUCAGAUCAGGCAUAUGAAAUGUAUUUCAUUAACCCUGAUGCAUUAGAGACCCUCAGCUCACAUAUUUUAUUUUGCAAAAGAGCACUAUGUACAUUUCUCUCUAAUGUCUGCUUGCUUUGAGAAAUCUUUUUACCCUUCACACACAGACACACACACCAGAUGCGUAUCUUCAAGGUGUGCUCACUGAAUCCUUGGACUGCAU
rnacentral:lncRNA from 1 species